CAUGGCUUGACAUAUACCGGAAAGCAUUAGAGAUAGUGCCCCCCUUGUGGUCGGUAUACAGGUGGUGCAUGGCUGUCGUCAGCUCGUGUCGUGAGAUGUUGGGUUAAGUCCCGCAACGAGCGCAACCCUUGUCCUGUGUUGCCAGCAUGCCCUUCGGGGUGAUGGGGACUCACAGGAGACCGCCGGGGUCAACUCGGAGGAAGGUGGGGACGACGUCAAGUCAUCAUGCCCCUUAUGUCUUGGGCUGCACACGUGCUACAAUGGCCGGUACAAAGAGCCGCGAUGCCGCGAGGCGGAGCGAAUCUCAAAAAGCCGGUCUCAGUUCGGAUUGGGGUCUGCAACUCGACCCCAUGAAGUCGGAGUUGCUAGUAAUCGCAGAUCAGCAUUGCUGCGGUGAAUA
rnacentral:rRNA from 1 species